rnacentral:rRNA from 1 species
UACAGAGGUCCCAAGCGUUGUUCGGAUUCACUGGGCGUAAAGGGUGCGCAGGCGGCCAUGUGUGUGAGGCGUGAAAGCCCGGGGCUUAACCCCGGAAUUGCACCUCAAACUACAUGGCUAGAGCAUUGGAGAGGGUAGCAGAAUUCAUGGUGUAGCAGUGAAAUGCGUAGAUAUCGGGAGGAACAUCAGUGGCGAAGGCGACCGCCUGGCCCAACACUGACGCUGAGGUGCGAAAGCGUGGGUAGCAAACAGG